UAGGGAAUAUUGGGCAAUGGAGGCAACUCUGACCCAGCCAUGCCGCGUGGAGGAUGAAGGCGCUCAGCGUCGUAAACUCCUUUUAUCUGGGAAGAACUGUAGUCCUGCGGGAUUAUUUGACGGUACCAGAGGAAUAAGCACCGGCUAACUCCGUGCCAGCAGCCGCGGUAAUACGGAGGGUGCAAGCGUUGUCCGGAUUUAUUGGGUUUAAAGGGUGCGUAGGUGGCGUCUUAAGUCUGGUUUGAAAGCAGGCGGCUCAACCGUCUGAUGUGGCUGGAAACUGGGGUGCUUGAAUGCGUUGGCGGUAGCCGGAACGGGUCAUGUAGCGGUGAAAUGCAUAGAUAUGACCCAGAACACCGAUUGCGAAGGCAGGCUACUACGACGUGAUUGACACUGAGGCACGAGAGCAUGGGUAGCGAACAG
rnacentral:rRNA from 1 species